CAGUGGCUGGUGUUGCAGCAUUAUGAGAAGAGGAGGUUAAAAAUGGGCUUCUGCAAUCAAUCGAGACAAAAUAUCCACCAGAUGAAGGCAGAGGAAGGAGACUGCAGCAGCUUGCCAGAGUUGUCACACGCCUUGAUGUCUUUGAACUUCUUCCUUGGAAGCUGCUGAAAUCCUUCAUGCAACUGCUCCACUUGGGCAUAAUCCAGGAAGAGCUUUCUCCAGCUGCUUUGGUUUAUUAUGUAUUGGCUCCCAGAAUUUGAGAUCACAAGUCAAGCAAAAAGGCUAAAUGUAGAUGCAUACAGAACAGCCAGCACUCUUGGAGUCUGUGCGCCAGGAAGCCCCCCUGACCUCCUCUCAGUGCUAAUGUUCUUCAAGUUGCUUUCAAGACCUCUGGGAUUUUGACUCUUGACGAUAACAGGCCAAUAAAUGUCAUGCUGCAUUUAUAAGACAAAGGAAAA